rnacentral:rRNA from 1 species
UACGAAGGGUGCAAGCGUUACUCGGAAUUACUGGGCGUAAAGCGUGCGUAGGCGGUUUGUUAAGUCCGCUGUGAAAGCCCUGGGCUCAACCUGGGAAUUGCAGUGGAUACUGGCAAGCUAGAGUGCGGUAGAGGAUGGUGGAAUUCCCGGUGUAGCAGUGAAAUGCGUAGAGAUCGGGAGGAACAUCCGUGGCGAAGGCGACUACCUGGACCAGCACUGACACUGAGGCACGAAAGCGUGGGGAGCAAACAGG